rnacentral:misc_RNA from 1 species
AUCUCUUGCGGCAUCACGAUCACCACAUGGCCGCCGCCGAGAUCCACCAUCGGUACCACCGCAUCGGUAAACGGCAGCAGCAAUGUCGGCCCCUGCGGCGGCGCGAUUUCGAUGAUGUCGCCGGCGCCGAAAUUAUGGAUCGCGAGCACCUUGCCGAUCGCGGUGCCUGCCGGAUCGAGCGCGCGCAGUCCGAUCAGGUCGGCGUGAUAGUAUUCGCCUUCGUCCGUCUCGGGCAGCUUGUCGCGGGAAAUAUAAAGCUCAAGGCCAUUGAUGCGCUCGGCAUCUUCGCGGGUCGUGAUGCCCUUGAGCACUGCAACCAGAUGAUCCUUGGCAAUCCGGGCGCGCACCACUUCAAACUGACGCACGCCGUCUUUGGUCG